UAUGGCAUUGUUCUUCUGGCUCCUCAAGUGAUUUUACAUGGUGGACUGCCAAUAAAAACUAACCAAUAUGCCGAAGAAGAACAACUAUAUUCUGUAAACUUGACUGCUCCGGAAUAUUACAUGUCCUGUAAACCACUCUUGCUCUCUGACUACAUCAAUCUACUCUGGACCACAGCAGCAGAGAUUUGUGCUGUUUUUUUUGCGUGGUUGCUUAUCGAAACUUCGGGAAGACGAAGAUUAAUGUUCGUGUUUUUGUGCUUCUACUCUGCAUCUGUCAUGAUGUUAUUGAUAGGCAAAGUGCCGUAAGUACUGA